CCACCAUCGUGCCAUUGCUGUCUUCUAUUCUGCAUGAUGAUGAAGAGUUCCCUAAUCCAGACCAGUUUGACCCAGGUCACUUCCUGGAUGAAAGUGGCAACUUUAAGAAGAGCGACUAUUUCAUGCCUUUUUCAACAGGAAAACGGAUAUGUGCUGGUGAGAGUCUGGCUCGGAUGGAAUUAUUUUGUUUUUUACUACCAUCUUACAAAAUUUUACUUUGAAAUCUGCCAUUGACUCAGAAGAUAUCGACACACCCCAAUUGCCAGUGGAUUUGUCAGAGUGCCCCCUCCUAUGAGCUCUGCUUUCUCCCUUCCUAAAACAUGUGAAGGACUAGCCCUAGUUCCAACUGCUCUAGAGUCUCCUCAUGUUUAUGAACAAGAUGUAUUCAUUCCAUUGCCUGCCAGUGAAAGCCCUCUAUGCUUUCAGCCCAAUAUGCUCUUCUAGCAUAAUCUAAUACUGCCUUUGACUUUUGCCAAAAUCAUGAUUUAACUUUCCCCAUCCUUCCCCAGAAAUUCCCCAUUCUGGGAAUAUUUCUUCUUUUUUCUUCACUUCACUUCAACUCCACUGGCAGAAAUCUCACCCACCCUUGAAUCACAAUUUAGGUGCCAUAUCCCUGUGACCUUUUUAGUUCUUACAGUCUGUACAAUUCAAUCUAAGCCUGAAUUAUACAUAUGCAUCUUA